AACUGAGCAAACUGAAAGGAAAUACCUUGACACAAAUUAAGUGCUGAUCACAGAAUCUAGAGAUUGGUAAGCAGUCAAGGCAGGCAUCAAUAACUAAUAUUAACCAAGCCUUUGAUGUAUGUGACUAUAGGUUUAUUUCAUGGUAUAAGACUGAAUCUGAAACAUUUAAAAUGGUGUUUUCCUUUUUAGCUGCUUCUCUACCAUACUUGUUUAUCUCUGCUUUCA